UAUUUUUUUGUCGCCCCUAGGCCUCUUUGGCAUUUAGGUAAAUCCAGUAAUACUUAAAUGAUUAUGACGUUAUGUACUUUGAAAAUUGGAUGCUAUUGCUACGAAAUAAAGUUAUAAAAAGGAACCAACAGUCGCUAAUUAAGAUAUAAUUUCCAGACCUUGGCAAUGUGUAACCUAUUGAGUUGACUGACAUACAAGUAUGUUAAAUUGUUUUUUCCAUACUUGUGAAGGGAACAAGAUGUCAUCAGAUGAAUGUAAAACGUUUGCCUGGGGUAAUCUCUAAAGCACUAAUUUACAAAAAAAAAAAAAAAAAAAGCUAUUGUCAUAAGACCACAUCUGAUAUGUGACUAAGCAAAUUUUAAAACUGAAAUGGAGGAAAGUAUUGAUGCAACUUUGCGGAGAAUUAAUCAACAAGGAGAGGACAUCUUAUACAGAGCACGUUUAAGGAUUGAGAAGCAAAAUUUCAAAACUGAGGAUUUAAAAGGCAAACCUCUUAGUGCCUCAUCAUUGGCAAACAAAUCUUCGAAAGAUGAAGCACUGAAUAAAGCAUUCUCGUCUAUUUUGCAAUAUAUGGACCACAGUUGUACCCAGUGUCAGGGUGGCACACUAUCUUAUGAAAUUUCUGAGUUUUAAUUCUUCAGAAAUUAAAAUUAAUUUUCACAUUCUUGACAUUUGUCUAAAAAAAAUUAUAACAUGAAAUGGAAACCAGUAAAUUAAAGUUAUCUUGAUUUUAAUACAUAACUCCUCUUUUUCCUAUGCUUGGGAGAUUGUUUCCCUUCAACAGUCUCAAAAAAUGUGUCUUAUUAAUGUCUGUUGAAACUGUUCAGCUGUUGUGGCAUCUUUCUCUGAGGCAAAAGUUAUAAGCUGGCCUGAUGAGCCCUGGUAUUGGGCACUGGAAUGGUAGAUGUAGUGUGGAUGGACACUGCUAAUGGGAGCUGACAUUGCAGGAAACUAUGGUUCUUAGCUGGUCGGGAUUUAGGUUUUCUUACCUAAUGAAAGUUUGUAUGUUUUCCAUUAUUUCACAACAUUACCUGCUGCUGCCAUGUCUGCUGAAGAUCAGCUCCAUUAUCACAGAUAUCACCAAACUAAGACCAAGGUAUUAAAAUCAUCAUACUGAUUUUAACAACCAAGGCCAGAGUUCUGAAAUAUUUAUUCUAUUACAACUAACUUUGAGCUAUGAAAAUAUAAUUGGUGGAAUGUUAUAUCAGUACCAACAGAGUCUCUAUAUCUCCAGUGUUUCUAAUCAUCUACAAGUAUGAUUACAAAUUCAUGCUUGCAUGUGAAAAACAAAUUUCACUAUUUUGUAAACUUGUGAAAAUGUGUAACAACUAAACUAAAAAAGAAAAAUUAAAAUUAUAUUUCACAACCCUUUAUCCUGAAGGUUUGUAAAUUACACAACAAAGGCAAACUUGUAGAAUUUUAUGCUUACCAUUAAUGGUGAUUUUGUACGAAUUAGUUAAACAGAUUAUUAAAAUAGUUUACUAAGUACUAUUAUUUUAUAUCUGAAAGAUAAUGUGUAUGAAAUAAUUUUUAACUGUUUCUUUAUGCUCAUACUUUUAAGAAGCAAAGAAAAU